rnacentral:rRNA from 1 species
GACGAACGCUGGCGGCGUGCUUAACACAUGCAAGUCGAACGGAAAGGCCUCUUUCGGGGGGUACUCGAGUGGCGAACGGGUGAGUAACACGUGAGUAACCUGCCCUUGACUUUGGGAUAACUUCAGGAAACUGGGGCUAAUACCGGAUAGGAGCUCCUGCUGCAUGGUGGGGGUUGGAAAGUUUCGGCGGUUGGGGAUGGACUCGCGGCUUAUCAGCUUGUUGGUGGGGUAGUGGCUUACCAAGGCUUUGACGGGUAGCCGGCCUGAGAGGGUGACCGGCCACAUUGGGACUGGGAUACGGCCCAGACUCCUACGGGAGGCAGCAGUGGGGAAUAUUGCACAAUGGGUGGAAGCCUGAUGCAGCAACGCCGUGUGCGGGAUGACGGACUUCGGGUUGUAAACCGCUUUCGCUCAUGACGAAGCUUUGCGUGACGGUAGUGGGUAAAGAAGCACCGGCUAACUACGUG